AGAACGAACGCUGGCGGCAUGCUUCAUACAUGCAAGUCGAACGAUUAAAGCCCGCAAGGGCAUAUAAAGUGGCGCACGGGUGAGUAACAGGUGGAUAAUCUGCCUUUCGGUGGGGGAUACCGGCUGGAAACGGCCGUUAAUACCGCAUUCGAUUGUCGGUCCGCAUGGUCUGACAAGGAAAGGGGCCUUUAAAGCCUCGCCGAGAGAUGAGUCCGCCCCCCAUUAGCUAGUUGGCGGGAUAAUAGCCCACCAAGGCAUCGAUGGGUAGCCGAGCUGAGAGGUUGAUCGGCCACACUGGAACUGAGACACGGUCCAGACACCUACGGGUGGCAGCAGUAGGGAAUAUUGCACAAUGGGCGCAAGCCUGAUGCAGCAAUGCCGCGUGAGUGAUGAAGGCCUUCGGGUCGUAAAACCCUUUUCUGAGGGAAGAAUGGCUGGGAUAGGAAAUGAUCUUGGCGUGACGGUACCUCAGGAAUAAGCAACGGCUAACUCCGUGCCAGCAGCCGCGGUAAUACGGAGGUUGCGAGCGUUGUUCGGAAUUACUGGGCGUAAAGGGAGCGCAGGCGGUUCGGCAAGUCUGGAGUGAAAGCACGGGGCUCAACCCCGUCGGGUCUUUGGAUACUGCCGAACUUGAGUACGUGAGAGGAGAGCGGAAUUCCAGGUGUAGCGGUGAAAUGCGUAGAUAUCUGGAGGAACACCGGUGGCGAAGGCGGCUCUCUGGCACGAAACUGACGCUGAGGCUCGAAAGCAUGGGGAGCGAACGGGAUUAGAUACCCCGGUAGUCCAUGCCGUAAACGUUGUGUACUAGGUGUGAGAGGUAUCGACCCCUCUCGUGCCGCAGCUAACGCAUUAAGUACACCGCCUGGGGAGUACGGUCGCAAGACUGAA
rnacentral:rRNA from 1 species